AUGAAGGAGGAGCUUGCUCCUCCGGAUUAGUGGCGAACGGGUGAGUAAUACGUGAGCAAUGUGCCCUUGACUCUGGGAUAAGCGCUGGAAACGGCGUCUAAUACCGGAUACGACGAUCGGAGGCAUCUCCUGGUCGUGGAAAGAACUUCGGUCAAGGAUCAGCUCACGGCCUAUCAGCUUGUUGGUGAGGUAACGGCUCACCAAGGCGACGACGGGUAGCCGGCCUGAGAGGGUGACCGGCCACACUGGGACUGAGACACGGCCCAGACUCCUACGGGAGGCAGCAGUGGGGAAUAUUGCACAAUGGGCGCAAGCCUGAUGCAGCAACGCCGCGUGAGGGACGAAGGCCUUCGGGUUGUAAACCUCUUUUAGCAGGGAAGAAGCGAGAGUGACGGUACCUGCAGAAAAAGCACCGGCUAACUACGUGCCAGCAGCCGCGGUAAUACGUAGGGUGCAAGCGUUGUCCGGAAUUAUUGGGCGUAAAGAGCUCGUAGGCGGUUUGUCGCGUCUGCUGUGAAAACCCGAGGCUCAACCUCGGGCUUGCAGUGGGUACGGGCAGACUAGAGUGCGGUAGGGGAGAUUGGAAUUCCUGGUGUAGCGGUGGAAUGCGCAGAUAUCAGGAGGAACACCGAUGGCGAAGGCAGAUCUCUGGGCCGUAACUGACGCUGAGGAGCGAAAGCAUGGGGAGCAAACAGGCUUAGAUACCCUGGUAGUCCAUGCCGUAAACGUUGGGAACUAGAUGUGGGGACCAUUCCACGGUCUCCGUGUCGU
rnacentral:rRNA from 1 species